AAACGAAUCUUCGUUUGGAUUACACGUCGUCGUUAUGCAAUAGAGAAGACUUCGACUAAUGCAAAUACGAUUAUCAUAGAACCGGACAAGUAACCGUGGUAGUUAGGUACUCGAGAAACUAAUGACAAUGAUCCUAGGUUCAAUAAUGAAUCCGCGGACAACGGGACGGUAGUCGUACGCACUCGCAAAAAUCUAAAUCGGAUUCUGUGUUAAUAUUCGCUGACCGUAAGGAGUUAAUCCUUUUUUUUGUCGAUGAGACCGCAAGAGAGAGUGACUUUCCGUCCCUGUGAUACCCCAGAGGAAAACUAUGACGGGGUGUGUCUAAGGACACGAGAUCAUUGGAUUCGUCGGGUACAUCCUACGUUCGGAAAGUAAGGGAAAUUGACGUUGCUGCUAAUUGGCCAAUCUCCAUAUCGGUAGUUAGAAAAGGAUGCUAGCUGCCCUUGAGGGAGGGUUGCUAGUGGGAGACGUCGUUCGUGGAAAAAUAGGUCUCUCCUGUCUUCCCGUAACUGGGACAAAGACUGUGUAUCUGUUGAAGGAUUUUAAGUAACUAGAUAUUAGUGUUUAUGACGGUCCUCGGGCUAGCCGAUCACGUACUGUGGAGACGCGUCGACAUCUGGUAAACAUCCUGCCCGGAGAAUAGGAUCUGCGUGUGGCAAGCUACGGGACAGAAACCGUUAGAAUGUUUACUGCCACGUGCCGCUACAAAUCUUUCUUUUAAGGAGAGCUAUAGGAUUACUCAAUGCCUUUGUUAGAUGGAGAGUUCGUCCCGUUGACCGCGGCCACGUUCGGCGACUAAUUGUCGCCUUGAGCCCAAGCUCAUUGUCACAAGUCUCAAACAAAUACAAUUGGUUAGAAUGACGGCAAAUCGUUUAGUUACAACUGUAGAUUUUAAUUACAAUGUUUUUAUGGAUUUUCCCGAGGUUUCAGAGGGAAGGCACCGGUGUCCUCUUAUCUCCGACAUAUACAAUA